GAAAAACGGAAGUGACACAGCAAGCAAAUGACAACUUUCAUCUUUCAUUCCAAUUUGUUAACAUUUUAAAAAGAUAUAGCCCAUAAGACAUUAGGGAUAUAUCAUGAAGCCGAGAUUUGUGCAAAACUGGCACAGAACAAAUGUGCUACUUGGCCGAUGUCUGGUGUGUCAGGGCAUGCUGGGAAUGUCCGCAGACCUCACAGUCUGUGCUACUUUGUUGGCAUCUGGACACACUCCCACCCUUAGUCUGUGACCAAGACAAGACUGAGUACAAAUGCUUUCAAGACUGAGACCGAAACCAUCAAAAAAAGACUUACAACUGUCUCAAAUACUAUAACACUGUUUCUGGGUAUGUGGAAUUUUCAUUUAAUACUGUCAGUCAAUAUGAAGUUUGUUUGAUUUGUUAAUCAAAUACUACCAUAGCAGACACCUUGGAGUAUGCCCUCUCCUGUUACACUUAUUGCUUAGUGACAAAUGAAUACAAGGAAAUGUAAACACUCCCUCAGUUUAUCACUUGUGUAGAAUAAUGCCAUCAGCGAGCCUUAUGAGUGUUGUAAAAAUAUUUCAGGAGAAACAUUUAGGAAUUAUUCAUAAUGGGGGACAAAAAGUAUGAUGCUUUGUAUUAAAUACAAUACAAUAAUUACAAUGUGACACUGUUUUAUAGAGUGGGAUCUACCAGGUGUCUACAAGGUUGUAGUGUUGACUGCAUUUGUCAAUGUACAACAUUAAUAACUAUUCAAUCCAGCUCAUCUAUUUUUAAUAAAACAACCCAACAUCCAAA